rnacentral:rRNA from 1 species
GACGGAGGGUGCAAGCGUUGUUCGGAUUGACUGGGCGUAAAGGGCGUGUAGGCGGUUGGUCAAGUCUGAUGUGAAAGCCCGGGGCUCAGCUUCGGAAGUGCAUCGGAAACUAGCCGGCUGGAGCGCGAUAGAGGAGGGCGGAAUUCCUGGUGUAGCGGUGAAAUGCGUAGAUAUCAGGAGGAACACCGGCGGCGAAGGCGGCCCUCUGGAUCGUUGCUGACGCUGAGACGCGAAAGCGUGGGGAGCAAAC